CGGAGGAUCCAAGCGUUAUCCGGAAUCAUUGGGUUUAAAGGGUCCGUAGGCGGGUUUAUAAGUCAGUGGUGAAAGCCCAUCGCUCAACGAUGGAACGGCCAUUGAUACUGUAGAUCUUGAAUUAUUAGGAAGUAACUAGAAUAUGUAGUGUAGCGGUGAAAUGCUUAGAGAUUACAUGGAAUACCAAUUGCGAAGGCAGGUUACUACUAAUGGAUUGACGCUGAUGGACGAAAGCGUGGGUAGCGAACAGGAUUAGAUACCCUGGUAGUCCACGCUGUAAACGAUGGAUACUAGCUGUUCGGAGCAAUCUGAGUGGCUAAGCGAAAGUGAUAAGUAUCCCACCUGGGGAGUACGUUCGCAAGAAUG
rnacentral:rRNA from 1 species